UCCAAAUCUCCCUUCCCAAAUUCCCCCUUCCCAAUGGCUCUGCUGUGCUAGCCCCUCCUUGUGCUGGCAGAACAUAAAAAUUCCAGUGCAGCCUUACAAAAUGAUCCAAACCUUCAACUGACCAAGUGCAGCUGCCAGCCUGGACAUAAAGCAGCAGGGCUGGAUAAUUUCCAUGGAUUUAUGGCCCACCUUGGUGGGCAUUUUAAUGGGCCUUAGGUAGAUGUGCAGGAGCCAGGCUCAUAAGACAGGGAAAUACACUGAAUUACCUCUCUCUCUGGGCUACUUCUCAGGAAUAUUUCUGGCCUUGGGCAAAUGUGAAAAGCCCAGGACUGAGACAAAUUGCUCAACUCCUCGGGAUUAAGAAAGGAAUCAUUAUUUUGGACCGUGUGGGUUGGGAGCCAAUUAAUACUAGUCUGUGGCUGUCUUUCCUACUGAGCAAACCUCAGCUUGACCAAGCGGAACAGAGAGCUGAAAAAUCCUGUGCUGGUCCAGGGGCAAGAGCAGGAAUAACUGGGCAGGCAGCAGUGGGAAAAAUCCAGUGGGAAAAAUCAGGAAACCACCAGUGCUUUUAUUUGAUGGAUAACAAGAGGCAUUUUGGUGCUGUUUUGCAGAUACCUAAAUAUCUGUGUCUGCAGGGCUCUGUUUAACCUGCUCCUGACAGGACCUUUGUGUCCUGCACUCAAAUGCACAAAAAAAAAAAAAAAAAAAGUCCUUUAGAGUCUUUCCAAAGAGUAGAAGAAGAAUUCCAAAUCCCAGGGGUGAAUUCCCAAGGCUGCAAUCCCAAUAUGUGGGGUUUUUUUGGUUCAUUUCAAGUGUGCAGUGAGCCUUGAAGAGGGGAAAAAAAAAUAUGACUAAGGACCCAAAAGGAAAAUCCAAAACAACACAAAAAAAGGAAAAGGUGGGAAGAUGAUGGACAGUUACUGUGGAAAAUGGAAUUUCAAAAUUAUCCUUUCCCCUGUCCACCCAUAGCCCUGUGCCUGGAAAGGGAAAGGAAGGAGAAGAGGAAGCAAAACUGCGACAGGAGGGAAUCAGACCAUGGACAUGUUGGAAGCUGGAAUAUACAUCCUGCAUUACAAAGUGCAAAAUACUACAUGCUCAGAGCCCAAGCAUGAUGUCUGAAACAGUCCACAGCAAGAUGUAAGAGACAAACCCACCACCCUCUCCCUCCUCUCUGGGACAUGCUCCAGGUGCUCCUCCCCAGGUGCCUUUAAGAAACAGUUGAAUUUUUGCUUGGUUUUGUUUUAUUGUCAUCCUCAGUGGAUUGGAAUUGAGCCCUCUGUCCCCUGUCCCUCCCCACCCUGCUCCCUGUGCACAUUUUUUGGGAUGGGCUGGAUGCUCCUCAGCAGCACAGCACCAUCAGCCACUCCAUCCGUGCUGCUGGAGGAGCCUCCAAGGGCUUUUCUGGGGGGAUUUUUAGCCAGGAGAAAUUGGCUGUGAAUUAAAAGUAGCUCUGGGUGGUUUUCCUACCUUGCCAUGGGUGAGGAGCAGCCUGGGGAGGAGGAGUGAAGGCAGGAGGGUGCUGGGGCUGCUGCUCACACCUCGUGUUCCCUGUUCCCCCCUGCCCCGAGGAAUUCUGCAAAAAGCCAAUUUUUGUUUUAAAAACAAGGAUCAGAACGGGGCCUGUUCAGCCAUUUUCCCAUCCAGACAGGGUUCAUUCCUUCCCUGUGCUCCUUCUCUCCUCCUCACAGCAGCAUUCCUCCAUUUCCAAAGGGUGAAAAGCCUGGUUCUGCUUUUCUCUCCCAUUUAUCAUUAAAGCUGUUCUGGAUUUCCCUAGGAAGCUCAGCCUGGAGCAUCCCAGAACCCAUCCCCACUCCACCCAAACUCUCCCCAUGGUCCCCUUGUCUCAUCUCCAUUUUGGGGUUCAUUGCUGUUGUUACAAAGACAAUUUUUUUCUUUUGGGGGGGGGGGGUGAGGGGAAGGGAAACGAGGUUUUUUCUUUUGUUGGGAUUCCUUCUCAUCCUUCCCAGUGUUGGGGGGGCAGAGUGUUGAUAGCAUUUUGCCAUGCCACACAGCAUAGUGUUAUACAAGCAAAGAAUUUUGGCUAAAAUCCAAAAAACAUUACCCAGGAAAAAAGGCAAACUGUGAGUGAGACUCGAUCAUUUGUUGUUCUUCUGUGAAAAGACUUGGAAAUUGUCAGAGGACAGUUCGAGUUAUGAUUUUUCCCUUUGUUUGUUUUUUUUUGUUGUUGUUGUUUGGUUCUGGUUUUUUUGUUUUGUUUUGUUUUUGUUUUUUUUCCCCCAUUCAUACAUGUAACUGUUAUUUUUGCAAACAAGACAGUCUUGAAUUAGAUGAAAAAGUUAAUAAACAAAAUGGCGACUCCAAUAUUUAGUAAGAUCACCAUGACUACCAGGAUGGGAGCUGAACCCUGCAAGAGAAAGAGAAGGACAGAAGUUAGAUGGAUCCUUGGAAUUCUGCAGGGAUUCCAGAAGAAUCUGGGGAGAAUCCAGGAGAAUCUGCUCUGGGAGUCCAGGCAGCCAGUGGGGAUGAGCAGAUCCCAACUGACACCUCCCAAGUGCCCAGGAACCCUUGGAGGAUUUUUGAAGCUGCCAAACAAACACUUGGCUGUACCCCCCCUGAUGGAUCAUGGAUCAUCCCAUGCCACUGCCAUGGGAACUCUGGCCUUAAAAACAGAACUAAAAUUGAUUGUUUAUUAGGUGGUCAAUCAAAAGGAAAAAAACAACCAAAUAGCAGAUUAUAUGGGAUCUUAGAGUGGUUUGGGGAUUGUUUGAAGUGUCCAGGACAUUUCCCAAUAAACACAGCUGUUUUCCAGGUA